GACGAACGCUGGCGGCGUGCUUAACACAUGCAAGUCGAACGGAAAGGCCCUGCUUUUGUUGGUUGCUCGAGUGGCGAACGGGUGAGUAACACGUGAGUAACCUGCCCUUGACUUUGGGAUAACUUCAGGAAACUGGGGCUCAUACCGGAUAUGAGCUCCUGCUGCAUGGUGUGGGUUGGAAAGUUUCGGCUGUUGUGGAUGGACUCGCGGCUUAUCAGCUUGUUUGUGGGGUAGUGGCUUACCAAGGCUUUGACGGGUAGCCGGCCUGAGAGGGUUACCGGCGACAAUGGGACUGAGAUACGGCCCAGAAUCCUACGGGAGGCAGCAGGGGGGAGUAUUGCACAAUGGGCGGAAGUCUGAUGCAGAAACGCCGCGUGCGGGAUGACGGCCUUCGGGUUGUAAACCGCUUUCGCCGGAGACGAAGAGUGAGUGACGGUAAUGGGUAAAGAAGCACCGGCUAACUACGUG
rnacentral:rRNA from 1 species